rnacentral:rRNA from 1 species
AUAGCGUAUAUUAAAGUUGUUGCAGUUAAAAAGCUCGUAGUUGAACUUCAGACCUGGCUGGGCGGUCUGCUUAACGGCAUGUACUGUCUGGCUGAGUCUUACCUCUUGGUGAGCCAGUGUGCCCUUUAUUGGUGUGCAUUGGGGAACCAGGACUUUUACCUUGAGAAAAUUAGAGUGUUCAAAGCAGGCCUAUGCCUGGAUACAUUAGCAUGGAAUAAUAGAAUAGGACGUGUGGUUCUAUUUUGUUGGUUUCUAGAAUUGCCGUAAUGAUUAAUAGGGAUAGUUGGGGGCAUUGGUAUUCAGUCGCUAGAGGUGAAAUUCUUGGAUUGACUGAAGACCGACUAUUG